rnacentral:rRNA from 1 species
AUGGCUCAGGACGAACGCUGGCGGCGUGCCUAAUACAUGCAAGUAGAACGCUGAAGAGAGGAGCUUGCUCUUCUUGGAUGAGUUGCGAACGGGUGAGUAACGCGUAGGUAACCUGCCUUGUAGCGGGGGAUAACUAUUGGAAACGAUAGCUAAUACCGCAUAACAAUGGAUGACACAUGUCAUUUAUUUGAAAGGGGCAAUUGCUCCACUACAAGAUGGACCUGCGUUGUAUUAGCUAGUAGGUGAGGUAACGGCUCACCUAGGCGACGAUACAUAGCCGACCUGAGAGGGUGAUCGGCCACACUGGGACUGAGACACGGCCCAGACUCCUACGGGAGGCAGCAGUAGGGAAUCUUCGGCAAUGGGGGCAACCCUGACCGAGCAACGCCGCGUGAGUGAAGAAGGUUUUCGGAUCGUAAAGCUCUGUUGUAAGUCAAGAACGAGUGUGAGAGUGGAAAGUUCACACUGUGACGGUAGCUUACCAGAAAGGGACGGCUAACUACGUGCCAGCAGCCGCGGUAAUACGUAGGUCCCGAGCGUUGUCCGGAUUUAUUGGGCGUAAAGCGAGCGCAGGCGGUUUGAUAAGUCUGAAGUUAAAGGCUGUGGCUCAACCAUAGUUCGCUUUGGAAACUGUCAAACUUGAGUGCAGAAGGGGAGAGUGGAAUUCCAUGUGUAGCGGUGAAAUGCGUAGAUAUAUGGAGGAACACCGGUGGCGAAAGCGGCUCUCUGGUCUGUAACUGACGCUGAGGCUCGAAAGCGUGGGGAGCGAACAGGAUUAGAUACCCUGGUAGUCCACGCCGUAAACGAUGAGUGCUAGGUGUUGGAUCCUUUCCGGGAUUCAGUGCCGCAGCUAACGCAUUAAGCACUCCGCCUGGGGAGUACGACCGCAAGGUUGAAACUCAAAGGAAUUGACGGGGGCCCGCACAAGCGGUGGAGCAUGUGGUUUAAUUCGAAGCAACGCGAAGAACCUUACCAGGUCUUGACAUCCCGAUGCUAUUUCUAGAGAUAGAAAGUUACUUCGGUACAUCGGUGACAGGUGGUGCAUGGUUGUCGUCAGCUCGUGUCGUGAGAUGUUGGGUUAAGUCCCGCAACGAGCGCAACCCCUAUUGUUAGUUGCCAUCAUUCAGUUGGGCACUCUAGCGAGACUGCCGGUAAUAAACCGGAGGAAGGUGGGGAUGACGUCAAAUCAUCAUGCCCCUUAUGACCUGGGCUACACACGUGCUACAAUGGUUGGUACAACGAGUUGCGAGUCGGUGACGGCAAGCUAAUCUCUUAAAGCCAAUCUCAGUUCGGAUUGUAGGCUGCAACUCGCCUACAUGAAGUCGGAAUCGCUAGUAAUCGCGGAUCAGCACGCCGCGGUGAAUACGUUCCCGGGCCUUGUACACACCGCCCGUCACACCACGAGAGUUUGUAACACCCGAAGUCGGAGAGGUAA